ACUUAAAUUGAAGAGUUUGAUCAUGGCUCAGAUUGAACGCUGGCGGCAGGCCUAACACAUGCAAGUCGAGCGGUAGCACAGAGAGCUUGCUCUCGGGUGACGAGCGGCGGACGGGUGAGUAAUGUCUGGGAAACUGCCUGAUGGAGGGGGAUAACUACUGGAAACGGUAGCUAAUACCGCAUAAUGUCGCAAGACCAAAGUGGGGGACCUUCGGGCCUCAUGCCAUCAGAUGUGCCCAGAUGGGAUUAGCUAGUAGGUGGGGUAAUGGCUCACCUAGGCGACGAUCCCUAGCUGGUCUGAGAGGAUGACCAGCCACACUGGAACUGAGACACGGUCCAGACUCCUACGGGAGGCAGCAGUGGGGAAUAU
rnacentral:rRNA from 1 species